rnacentral:rRNA from 1 species
UGCCUUGAAGAUCGGAGUGCUAGCACUCUGUGAAACAAGAUACAGGCUAGCGGCGGACGGGUGAGUAACACGUGGGUAACCUGCCCAAGAGAUCGGGAUAACACCUGGAAACAGAUGCUAAUACCGGAUAACAACAGAUGAUGCCUAUCAACUGUUUAAAAGAUGGUUCUGCUAUCACCCUUGGAUGGACCUGCGGUGCAUUAGCUAGUUGGUAGGGUAACGGCCUACCAAGGCGAUGAUGCAUAGCCGAGUUGAGAGACUGAUCGGCCACAUUGGGGCUGAGACACGGCCCAAACUCCUACGGGAGGCAGCAGUAGGGAAUCUUCCACAAUGGACGCAAGUCUGAUGGAGCAACGCCGCGUGAGUGAAGAAGGGUUUCGGCUCGUAAAGCUCUGUUGUUGGUGAAGAAGGACAGGGGUAGUAACUGACCUUUGUUUGACGGUAAU